rnacentral:rRNA from 1 species
CGGGACACGUGGUAUCCUGUCUGAAUAUGGGGGGACCAUCCUCCAAGGCUAAAUACUCCUGACUGACCGAUAGUGAACCAGUACCGUGAGGGAAAGGCGAAAAGAACCCCGGCGAGGGGAGUGAAAAAGAACCUGAAACCGUGUACGUACAAGCAGUGGGAGCACAGAGCAAUCUGUGUGACUGCGUACCUUUUGUAUAAUGGGUCAGCGACUUAUAUUCUGUAGCAAGGUUAACCGAAUAGGGGAGCCGAAGGGAAACCGAGUCUUAACUGGGCGUUAAGUUGCAGGGUAUAGACCCGAAACCCGGUGAUCUAGCCAUGGGCAGGUUGAAGGUUGGGUAACACUAACUGGAGGACCGAACCGACUAAUGUUGAAAAAUUAGCGGAUGACUUGUGGCUGGGGGUGAAAGGCCAAUCAAACCGGGAGAUAGCUGGUUCUCCCCGAAAGCUAUUUAGGUAGCGCCUCGUGAAUUCAUCUCCGGGGGUAGAGCACUGUUUCGGCAAGGGGGUCAUCCCGACUUACCAACCCGAUGCAAACUGCGAAUACCGGAGAAUGUUAUCACGGGAGACACACGGCGGGUGCUAACGUCCGUCGUGAAGAGGGAAACAACCCAGACCGCCAGCUAAGGUCCCAAAGUCAUGGUUAAGUGGGAAACGAUGUGGGAAGGCCCAGACAGCCAGGAUGUUGGCUUAGAAGCAGCCAUCAUUUAAAGAAAGCGUAAUAGCUCACUGGUCGAGUCGGCCUGCGCGGAAGAUGUAACGGGGCUAAACCAUGCACCGAAGCUGCGGCAGCGACGCUUAUGCGUUGUUGGGUAGGGGAGCGUUCUGUAAGCCUGCGAAGGUGUGCUGUGAGGCAUGCUGGAGGUAUCAGAAGUGCGAAUGCUGACAUAAGUAACGAUAAAGCGGGUGAAAAGCCCGCUCGCCGGAAGACCAAGGGUUCCUGUCCAACGUUAAUCGGGGCAGGGUGAGUCGACCCCUAAGGCGAGGCCGAAAGGCGUAGUCGAUGGGAAACAGGUUAAUAUUCCUGUACUUGGUGUUACUGCGAAGGGGGGACGGAGAAGGCUAUGUUGGCCGGGCGACGGUUGUCCCGGUUUAAGCGUGUAGGCUGGUUUUCCAGGCAAAUCCGGAAAAUCAAGGCUGAGGCGUGAUGACGAGGCACUACGGUGCUGAAGCAACAAAUGCCCUGCUUCCAGGAAAAGCCUCUAAGCAUCAGGUAACAUCAAAUCGUACCCCAAACCGACACAGGUGGUCAGGUAGAGAAUACCAAGGCGCUUGAGAGAACUCGGGUGAAGGAACUAGGCAAAAUGGUGCCGUAACUUCGGGAGAAGGCACGCUGAUAUGUAGGUGAAGCGACUUGCUCGUGGAGCUGAAAUCAGUCGAAGAUACCAGCUGGCUGCAACUGUUUAUUAAAAACACAGCACUGUGCAAACACGAAAGUGGACGUAUACGGUGUGACGCCUGCCCGGUGCCGGAAGGUUAAUUGAUGGGGUCAGCGCAAGCGAAGCUCUUGAUCGAAGCCCCGGUAAACGGCGGCCGUAACUAUAACGGUCCUAAGGUAGCGAAAUUCCUUGUCGGGUAAGUUCCGACCUGCACGAAUGGCGUAAUGAUGGCCAGGCUGUCUCCACCCGAGACUCAGUGAAAUUGAACUCGCUGUGAAGAUGCAGUGUACCCGCGGCAAGACGGAAAGACCCCGUGAACCUUUACUAUAGCUUGACACUGAACAUUGAGCCUUGAUGUGUAGGAUAGGUGGGAGGCUUUGAAGUGUGGACGCCAGUCUGCAUGGAGCCGACCUUGAAAUACCACCCUUUAAUGUUUGAUGUUCUAACGUGGACCCGUAAUCCGGGUUGCGGACAGUGUCUGGUGGGUAGUUUGACUGGGGCGGUCUCCUCCUAAAGAGUAACGGAGGAGCACGAAGGUUGGCUAAUCCUGGUCGGACAUCAGGAGGUUAGUGCAAUGGCAUAAGCCAGCUUGACUGCGAGCGUGACGGCGCGAGCAGGUGCGAAAGCAGGUCAUAGUGAUCCGGUGGUUCUGAAUGGAAGGGCCAUCGCUCAACGGAUAAAAGGUACUCCGGGGAUAACAGGCUGAUACCGCCCAAGAGUUCAUAUCGACGGCGGUGUUUGGCACCUCGAUGUCGGCUCAUCACAUCCUGGGGCUGAAGUAGGUCCCAAGGGUAUGGCUGUUCGCCAUUUAAAGUGGUACGCGAGCUGGGUUUAGAACGUCGUGAGACAGUUCGGUCCCUAUCUGCCGUGGGCGCUGGAGAACUGAGGGGGGCUGCUCCUAGUACGAGAGGACCGGAGUGGACGCAUCACUGGUGUUCGGGUUGUCAUGCCAAUGGCACUGCCCGGUAGCUAAAUGCGGAAGAGAUAAGUGCUGAAAGCAUCUAAGCACGAAACUUGCCCCGAGAUGAGUUCUCCCUGACUCCUUGAGAGUCCUGAAGGAACGUUGAAGACGACGACGUUGAUAGGCCGGGUGUGUAAGCGCAGCGAUGCGUUGAGCUAACCGGUACUAAUGAACCGUGAGG